AUUGAACGCUGGCGGCAUGCUUUACACAUGCAAGUCGAACGAGUGGCGGACGGGUGAGUAAUGUGUCGGAACGUGCCCAAUGGCGGGGGAUAACUACUGGAAACAGGGCUAAUACCGCGUACCUUUGGAUCAGCCAUGUUUGGCUUAGCUAGUUGGUGGGGUAAAGGCUCACCAAGGCAACGAUCCGUAGCUGGUCUGAGAGGAGGACCAGCCACACUGGGACUGAGACACGGCCCAGACUCCUACGGGAGGCAGCAGUGGGGAAUUUUGGACAAUGGGCGAAACCCUGAUGGAGCAAUGCCGCGUGUAUGAUGAAGGCCUUCGGGUUGUAAAGUACUUUUGGCAGGGAAGCGGUAUCUGAAGAAGAAGCACCGGCUAACUACGUGCCAGCAGCCGCGGUAAUAC
rnacentral:rRNA from 1 species